rnacentral:rRNA from 1 species
GACGAACGCUGGCGGCGUGCUUAACACAUGCAAGUCGAACGGAAAGGCCCCCAUCUUGGUGGGGGUGCUCGAGUGGCGAACGGGUGAGUAACGCGUGGGUGAUCUGCCCUGUACUUCGGGAUAAGCUUGGGAAACUGGGUCUAAUACCGGAUAGGACCAUGGUUUAGUGUCUCAUGGUGGAAAGAUUAUUGUUUUGGUGCAGGAUGAGCUCGCGGCCUAUCAGCUUGUUGGUGGGGUAAUGGCCUACCAAGGCGUCGACGGGUAGCCGGCCUGAGAGGGUGGACGGCCACAUUGGGACUGAGAUACGGCCCAGACUCCUACGGGAGGCAGCAGUGGGGAAUAUUGCACAAUGGGCGCAAGCCUGAUGCAGCGACGCCGCGUGGGGGAUGACGGCCUUCGGGUUGUAAACUCCUUUCGUUAGGGACGAAGCCGCACUUUUUUUGGGUGUGGUGACGGUACCUUUGUUAAGAAGCACCGGCUAACUACGUG